rnacentral:rRNA from 1 species
UAGAGGAAGUAAAAGUCGUAACAAGGUCUCCGUUGGUGAACCAGCUCGAGGGAUCAUUACAGAGUUGCAAAACUCCCUAAACCAUUGUGAACCUACCGCUAAACAGUUGCUUCGGCGGGUGGCCGGGAUCCCCCCCAGGGGGGCGCCGGCCGCCGAGCCCGCCGGAGGAAAACCAAACUCUUUUGUUUUUACCACUGGCCUCUCUGAGUAUACUUAAACAAAUAAGUCAAAACUUUCAACAACGGAUCUCUUGGUUCUGGCAUCGAUGAAGAACGCAGCGAAAUGCGAUAAGUAAUGUGAAUUGCAGAAUUCAGUGAAUCAUCGAAUCUUUGAACGCACAUUGCGCCCGCCAGUAUUCUGGCGGGCAUGCCUGUUCGAGCGUCAUUUCAGCCAUCAAGCCCCCCGGCUUGUGUUGGGGACCCGCGGCUGCCGCGGGCCCUGAAAGACAGUGGCGGUCUCGCUGUAGCACCGAGCGUAGUAGAAUACACCUCGCUCCGGUCGCCGCGGCGGGCUUCCGGCCGUAAAAACCCCCCCCUUCUUAACACAAGGUUGACCUCGGAUCAGGUAGGAAUACCCGCUGAACUUAAGCAUAUCAUA